GAUGAACGCUGGCGGCGUGCCUAAUGCAUGCAAGUCGAGCGAACGGACGAGAAGCUUGCUUCUCUGAUGUUAGCGGCGGACGGGUGAGUAACACGUGGAUAACCUACCUAUAAGACUGGGAUAACUUCGGGAAACCGGAGCUAAUACCGGAUGAUAUUUUGAACCGCAUGGUUCAAAAGUGAAAGACGGUCUUGCUGUCACUUAUAGAUGGAUCCGCGCUGCAUUAGCUAGUUGGUAAGGUAACGGCUUACCAAGGCAACGAUGCAUAGCCGACCUGAGAGGGUGAUCGGCCACACUGGAACUGAGACACGGUCCAGACUCCUACGGGAGGCAGCAGUAGGGAAUCUUCCGCAAUGGGCGAAAGCCUGACGGAGCAACGCCGCGUGAGUGAUGAAGGUCUUCGGAUCGUAAAGCUCUGUUAUUAGGGAAGAACAUAUGUGUAAGUAACUGUGCACAUCUUGACGGUACCUAAUCAGAAAGCCACGGCUAACUACGUG
rnacentral:rRNA from 1 species